rnacentral:rRNA from 1 species
CUGGAGACAGGUGGCUGCAUGGCUGUCGUCAGCUCGUGUCGUGAGAUGUUGGGUUAAGUCCCGCAACGAGCGCAACCCUUGCCUUUAGUUGCCAGCAGUUCGGCUGGGCACUCUAAAGGGACUGCCGGUGUUAAACCGGAGGAAGGUGGGGAUGACGUCAAGUCCUCAUGGCCUUUAUGACCAGGGCUACACACGUACUACAAUGGCCGAUACAAAGGGCAGCGACACUGCGAGGUGAAGCCAAAUCCCGUAAAAUCGGUCUCAGUCCGGAUUGGAGUCUGCAACUCGACUCCAUGAAGUUGGAAUCGCUAGUAAUCGUGGAUCAGCAUGCCACGGUGAAUACCGGUUCCCGGGCCUU